GAUUAACGCUGGCGGCGUGCAUAACACAUGCAAGUCGAACGAAGUGGCGGACGGGUGAGCAACGCGUGAGUAACCUGCCUUAGAGAAGGGGAUAGCCUUUGGAAAAGAAGAAUAAUACCUUAUGCUCUAAGAUGGGCUUGCGUCUGUUUAGUUAGGUGGUGAGGUAACGGCCCACCAAGACAGCGAUCAGUAGCCGGCUUGAGAGAGUGUACGGCCACAUUGGGACUGAGGCACGGCCCAGACUCUACGGGGGGCAGCAGUGGGGAAUAUUGCGCAAUGGGGGAAACCCAGAUGCAGCGAGGCCGCGUGAUUUAGAAGUCCUCGGGUUGUAAAAAUCUUUUCUAUGGGAAGCGGUACCAUAGGAAUAAGGACCGGCUAAUUACGUGCCAGCAGCCGCGGUAAUUC
rnacentral:rRNA from 1 species